rnacentral:rRNA from 1 species
UGAAACUGCGAAUGGCUCAUUAAAUCAGUCAUAAUUUAUUUGAUAGUACCUUUACCUGGAUAACCGUGGUAAUUCUAGAGCUAAUACAUGCUAAAAACCUCGACUUCGGAAGGGGUGUAUUUAUUAGAUAAAAAACCAAUGCCCUUCGGGGCUCCUUGGUGAUUCAUAAUAACUUAACGAAUCGCAUGGCCUUGCGCCGGCGAUGGUUCAUUCAAAUUUCUGCCCUAUCAACUUUCGAUGGUACAGUAGUGGUCUACCAUGGUUUUAACGGGUAACGGGGAAUUAGGGUUCUAUUCCGGAGAGGGAGCCUGAGAAACGGCUACCACAUCCAAGGAAGGCAGCAGGCGCGCAAAUUACCCAAUCCCAAUUCGGGGAGGUAGUGACAAUAAAUACUG